GUAUUGUAGUUAUGGUCAAGAACUGCCAGCAGUAGGUGACCGUGGGUCAUCAGGGUUGGUUCUGCUGGUCUGGCUCCCUAGCUGGGUGUCCCCUCCCUCCCUCAUAGCUCCAUGUGCAUCCCUCCCAAAGCUGUGUGCUUCCUUGAAGAGGACGACCUGCCCCGACAGAGGAGGACUGUACUUCCCUCAUGCGUACGUGAGUAGAUGUGCUUCCCUCCAGGACCUCCAGACAAGCUCUCAGACUCCAUUUUUGGGAGAAUGUAGGGCAGUCAAGCUUCCAAGAGUCUAGAAACAUCCACUGAGGCACUGCAUGUAGGCGUCUACCUUUCUUU
rnacentral:snRNA from 1 species